AUAUCGUAAUGGAGGACAGUUUGUGUGUCUCUUCAUUUGGGAGAACGUGAGGUAAACAAAGUCAACGGCCGGAGAUAUCGUUUCAGUCGUCACUCUCUUGAUUGACGAUUCGAUUGUUGCUCGUCCACAU